UUCAGUCUAUGAGGUGGGGGCCUGAUAACAGGACUCUAUCUCGCUUUGGUGAGUUUUUUCUCUUUUUCCUUUUGCCCAAUAAAAUCCUGCUCUACUCACCCUUCAAUGUGUCCACGUGUCUAAGUUUUCCUUGUCAUGUGACAAGAACCUGGUUUUAGCUGAACUGCGGGGCAAAAUUCUGCAUUUGUAAAUGCUUACAUUUGUGAUCAAACUUUAAUUGAACUGGUUAUCAAUCUUUUCUACUGAAGGGUCAGAUUUAAACAUUUUUUUCUGAUUACAGAAGUAUUAAAUAAUAAUUGUCAAAAUUGAGAAAAUAGAGAAGAGCAAUAAAGCUCCCAGCAUUCACAGUCUUGAAAUAAUUACUGUUAGCAUUUUGAUAUUUACCAUCCAGCCUUUAUUUUCAAGAAACACGUGUAAGAAAGAAUGUAAGAAUGUAUAUGUUUUGUUUUAAACAUCAUUUGGAACAUACAUAUAAUUUUCUAUCCUGAUUUUUCACACAUUAUUCAGCAAGCAUUUUUCCAUAUUAUUGUUUUAAAAAAUAUAUUUAUUAUGUCUAUAUAACAAGAAUACACCAGCAAAUUUAAUCAUCCUUCAAUUUUUGAACAUUUAGUUUGUUUCUGGUAUUGGUAUUUCCGAAUAAUUUCUCAGAAUGAGUUUCAUUAUCUGCAGCAGUUUAGAAUAGUACCAUUUCAUUGUAUCCUUGCAAAUACUGAAUAUUUCUAACUGUAAAGCUUUGUUAACCUGACAAGUGAAUCAAUACAAAUGACUAAAACAUGCAUUUUAAUUUGCAUUAUUUUGCUUAGUGAAGUUUUUAAAUGUCUUAUUCAUUUGUAUUGCUUCUGAGGAUCAUUCAUAUCCUUAACUGAGAGACCAGAUUUACUAUAAAAAAAUUAUUUUUAAGUGAGAUUUAGUUUUAAUAAAGGUUUAUAGAAUGCCUAUAGGAAGUGCUCUGUCAAGUCUAUAGCUGUAUUUUUUAAUCAAACUUUUUAUAUUGAGACAACUGUGUCACAUGCAGUUUUAAGAAAUAAUAUACAGAUGACCGUGUAUAUCUUUAAUCUAGUUUCCCCCAGUGGUGACAUGUUACAAAACUAUUGCAAUAUCACAACCAGAAUACUGACAUUAAUAUAGACAAGAUGCAGGAUUUCCAUUCCCUGACCCAUGGCAAUCAAUUAUUCUGUUGUCCACUUACAUAAAUUUAUCAAUUCUGAGAUGUUACAUAAUGGAAUUACACAGUAUAUAAGCAUUUGAGAUUGGCUUUUUCUUUAACCAUAAUUUCCUACAGAUUCAUUUCAGGGUGUGUUCAUCAAUACUGUGUUCCUAUUUGUUACUAAAUAUUCCAUAGGAUAGAUGUACCAGUUUCUGUAAACAUUUAUAGUUGAAUUUUAAUGACUAUUUCAUUAAUACAUUUGUCUAAUUUCAGGGGUUGGAAGGAGAAAAGAAAAUGCAUUCACUAGGAAGUCAUUCGGUCAUCCCAACAUUCACUGAAAGCAGACCAUUGGGACAAAUGUUAUCCUAUGCUUCUGAUUACAAAACAACUAAAACCCAAAUAAAAUAAACAUUAGUAAGUAGCAGUGCUAAGAUUGAAACCAGAUACGUAUUUAAAGAAGCAAGAAAAUGAGUUCAGAGAACAUUUUAUCAUCAAUAAAAACUUUCUAAAAUGUAACAAUUUUUCUAGGUUUAAUUAAACAGGCUAAAAACUUGAUGUGUCCAGUCCAUGAGAGCAUCCUCCUAUCCACUGGACUAGGUGUCUACUAAACCACAUCUUAUAUCUAUUGUGAGGCCAACUGUCUUGAGGCCAAACAAGACGCGAGUUAUAUGGUAGCACUUGAGAGGGCUGCGGACACAUUAGAGCAGCUUUCUCUUCCCAUCUACAGCAGUUCUGGGCAGCAUGCUUGGAAUGGCAACGCUGGCGUCCCCGAAAAAUACCAGCCCUCUUGCCAAUUUCCUCUGAACCCCAACUACCCAACCCAAAAUUAUGUGAAGAUCUGAUUUUCAAACAAAACGAGGCCAAUAAUGCACCAUUAUUACGUUUCCCUAAAACAUUAACAGUAUGGAAAUUAAGACACAAACCAGAGACCGGAAAAAAAUCUUGGUGCGUUCAAAGUAACCUCAAUCAGUUCCCGACUCUAUUUUUCGCUUAUGGUGCAAUAUUAACAAAAACUAAGCACAACGUGCAGAGAAACGCCCCUUCGCACUUAUGACUUCCGGCCUGGGACUCUGGCUCCUCACACGCCUUUGAUACAAAGUUCGAAGGCUGAGCCUUAACCAUGCCACGCCCAGCGUGCUCCGGACGAGGAUGCCCGAAACUGCAAUGAGAGAGGGAAAUUUCCUAGUCAGGUCAAGGUCCAACAAAACAAACGUCCGCACGCAGGAAUUGAACCGUCUCGCAGGCAGAGGCGGCUGAACCAGGAGCGAGCGGAAGUGACGCACAGGCCGGUCGCCGGAGAAGGCGGGGCACCGAGGUAGCGCGCCCAAUUGGGGCGCGGGAGAGGCCGGGGGUGUGGCAGCGUUGGCGGCGAGCAGGGGCCUGGGCGCGCUAGGGGCGGGGCCAGGGUGCUCGGCUCGCGGGGACUGGCCUCCUUCGGCAGCUGGAGGCGGUCACUCACGCUGGGCUAGGAGCUGAGGCAAGAAGGGCCAUGCGGACGGCGAGGGAGUCCAGAGUCUUGAGCCCGGUGCUCCUCCCUCGCGCAGCGGUGGCUCUGCGGCCGCUGGAGUAAACACUGCCUUUGUUCCCUAGCGCCUCGUCUUUCGUCGCCCCGUCCCCUCACGCCGCCGGGCUGUGGCCGGCCCGCCCUCGGUCCUUGAACCCCAUUUCGGCUCGUUCCGUGCGGAUGCGGCUGCCGGGCCUGGGUUUGGGCAUUGAGCGGGAGGAGGAGGAGGAGCGGCGGCGCCUGGGCGGCAUGCGAUGGGGAACUGCUGCUGGACGCAGUGCUUCGGACUGCUCCGCAAGGAAGCGGGGCGGCUGCAGCGAGUAGGCGGCGGCGGAGGAUCCAAGUAUUUUAGAACAUGCUCAAGAGGUGAGCACUUAACAAUAGAGUUUGAGAAUCUAGUAGAAAGUGAUGAAGGGGAGAGCCCAGGAAGCAGUCAUAGGCCUCUUACUGAGGAAGAAAUUGUUGACCUAAGAGAAAGGCAUUAUGAUUCCAUUGCCGAAAAACAAAAAGAUCUUGAUAAGAAAAUUCAAAAAGAGUUAGCCUUACAAGAAGAGAAGUUAAAACUAGAAGAAGAAGCUUUAUACGCUGCACAGCGUGAAGCAGCCAGGGCAGCAAAGCAGCGAAAGCUCUUGGAGCAAGAAAGGCAGAGAAUUGUGCAGCAAUAUCAUCCUUCCAACAAUGGAGAAUAUCAAAGUUCAGGACCAGAAGAUGACUUCGAAUCUUGUUUGAGAAAUAUGAAGUCACAGUAUGAAGUUUUUCGAAGUAGUAGACUCUCAUCAGAUGCUACAGUUUUGACACCAAAUACAGAAAGCAGUUGUGAUUUAAUGACCAAAACUAAAUCAACUAGUGGAAAUGACGACAGCACAUCCUUAGAUCUAGAGUGGGAAGAUGAAGAAGGAAUGAAUAGAAUGCUUCCAAUGAGAGAACGUUCCAAAACAGAGGAAGACAUUCUACGGGCAGCACUUAAGUAUAGCAACAAGAAGACUGGAAGUAAUCCUACAUCAGCCUCUGAUGAUUCCAAUGGGCUGGAGUGGGAAAAUGAUUUUGUUAGUGCCGAAAUGGAUGAUAAUGGAAAUUCCGAGUAUUCUGGAUUUGUAAAUCCUGUAUUAGAACUGUCUGAUUCUGGCAUAAGGCAUUCUGACACAGAUCAACAGACUCGAUAGGAUGUGAAGGAAGCAUGAGGAGGGAUCGUCAGAUUCAGAUUUAGAAUAGUGUUCCCGUUUCCAGCAUUAUUUAUUUCUAUGACUUCUUUGGAUUUUAUUAUCUAAUAGUCUCUGUCGUCCAGGCUGGAGUGCAAUGGCACAAUCUCAGCUCACUGCAAACUCCACCUCCCGGGUUCAAGCAAUUCUCCUGCCUCAACUUCCUGAGUAGCCGGGAUUACAGAAACGCACCACCAUACCCAGCUAAUUUUUGUAUUUUUAGUAGAGACGGAGUUUCGCCAUGUUAGCCAAGCUGCUCUCAAAACUCCUGAGCUCAGCUGCACAGAAUUCUGUAACUGUAGCACGGCGAGAAGUUACACCAGUACCCAGAGAGAUGCUGAGUGCCGCCUGCAUUCCUUGGAUGACUCUCCCUUGCUGAGGCUACCGGACACUGUCUGCUUAUACUGAUUUGGGGUUUGGAGAUAAUCAGUCUUAAGUGAGAUUGAUUUGUAGUUUUAUUGUUUUUUGUUUGCCAUCUAUAUUAGAUGUUGGCAUCAAAAUUAUGCUGGUUUGAAAUAUAAAAAACAAAAACCAGAAAGAAUAUUUUCCUUCCCUUUCUAUCUUGCUGGCAUUUCUUUUUUUUUUUUUUUGGAGACAGCGUCUUGCUGUCACUGGAGUGCAGUGUGCAGUGGCGUGAUCUUGGCUCACUGCAACCUCUGCCUCCCAGGUUCAAGCAAUUCUCCUGUCUCAGCCUCCCAAGUAGGUGGGACUACAAGUGUGCGCCACCACUCCCAGCUAAUUUUUCAUAUUUUAGUAGAGACGGGGUUUUACCAUGAUGCCGAGGCUGCUCUCAAACUCCUGAGCUUAGGCAAUACACCCACCCUCGGUCUUUCAAAGUGCUAGGAUUACAGGCAUGAGCCACCGUUCCCAGCCCUGCUGUUUACUUUUAAAAUAUAAUCUUUCCUUCUGUUUUACAAAGUUUUGCUGCUGGGAAUCAAACUCUCAAUUUAUUCAAUUAUCCAACAAAUGACAUAGCUAAGCAAUAUUUCUUUUCUAUUGAUUUGAAAAUGCAUUUUCAAUUUUAUUUUCAUAAUAUAUUUUUGAACAUUAUUGCAUCAUAUUGCUCUACCCAAGCAGGCCACAGAUGUCCAGCUGUAAGCAGAAAAACUGAGAAAAAUCCUCAAAAUCCUGUGCUAGGGGUGGUAAAACUUACUAUGAAACCAAAGUCAGCAAGAAUUAACACACAAUGGGUAAAACUGGUUAAUCCAUCUUACACUGUGAUUUGAAGACACUAUGAUUACGAUAAUAAAGUCUCAUUAUUCAGGAAGCAGACAGCAUAAAAGAAUAAUUAUAAGUCAUGGGAUGAUGCAUUAGCAGUCGACAAGAAAAGCAUUUGCUAUUAACAAGAGCCUGAAAAGAAGCGUCAGAAAUCUGUAAGUGAUCUCCAGCUUUAUUUACGAUAUGCUGCCAUCAAUUUAGUUCAUUGUUGGACUUCAGGCGAUAAGAAUUCCAAAAGGAGAACUGUAUUAAAAACCAUGGUGUAUUCUGGAUCUAAAUAGUCUUUUGGUAACAUCCAAAUUUUGUUUUUGUAUGCUUUAUAUAAGCUAUUACUUUAUAAUUCAGUCUUCUGAGCAAAUCAACCACAAGAAAAGCUUACCCCAUAUAGGUUCUUAUACUCAGUCCCCAGGACAGAUAUAUUAUCCACUGUUAGAGAGAAAAAAUGGCAUUCUGGUUUAUACAUCAGUGGCUAUGAGUGUCUUGGUGCAGAUCAAUUGUCUGGGUUUGAUGAAUCUCUGGGUUCACAAUUGUGACUCCAUCCAACAAACACUGAGGCAGACUGCAUUAGUGUCAAAUAUUUGCUACCCCAUCCUUGCAGGCCUGUCCCUACCAGUUCUGCCCCUUUAAAAUGAUGAUCCACUUCAUUAACAACCAUGUCAAUGAAACAUGAAUGGCAGUGACUUACUUC